rnacentral:rRNA from 1 species
UACGUAGGGGGCAAGCGUUAUCCGGAUUUACUGGGUGUAAAGGGAGCGUGGACGGCAGUGCAAGUCUGGAGUGAAAGGCGGGGGCUCAACCCCCGGACUGCUCUGGAAACUGUACGGCUGGAGUGCAGGAGAGGUAAGUGGAAUUCCUAGUGUAGCGGUGAAAUGCGUAGAUAUUAGGAGGAACACCAGUGGCGAAGGCGGCUUACUGGACUGUAACUGACGUUGAGGCUCGAAAGCGUGGGGAGCAAACAGG